rnacentral:lncRNA from 1 species
GGUCAACAGCGCUGGCUGCUUUUACUGAUAACCUAGGUGCAGUUCCCAGCACCUUCAUGGCACCUCACAACUGUCUGAGACAAACUCCACUUCCAAGAAAUCCAAUGCCCCUUUCUGGCCUCACUGAGCACCAUGCCUACAUGGUACAUAGGUAUACAUGUAGGCAAAACAACCAUACACAUAAAAUUAAAAUAAAAAGGACUAAGGACUAGUCAUCGUGGUUGAAGCUGCUCACUGUAUACUGAUCUGUGUGAACAUAGGUGAGAGUAUAUAUAGGACAAGGGAGAGGGGUAGUCCUGCCUGGUUUUGCAGUAGUCAGCCUAUGUGUCCCUAUAAUAAGGAGAAGAAACAUUGAUCAGAACUUCAAGAUUAUCCUUAGCUACAUACUGUUUCACGGCCAGCCUUCACUGCAUAAAACUGAGACCCUGACUUCAAAAAGACUCCUGUGAAGUAAAAAACAUUCAAUGUCAUAAUAAUAUGUGGAAAAGUAGAAUUUUACCUCGUUAGUAAACCUUUUUUUGGUUACAGAAUGUCAUUCAGAUAUCAAACAGACGCCUGAAAUAUCAAACACCUUAAUGCUUUAUUGGUUGGAACAAACUGUCACAAUAUUUAUUAUUCACUCAUUCAUUUAUUUGUUGAGGCAGGAUCUUAACUAUAUAGUACUGGACCAGGCUGGCUGGCUCUCCCAGGCUCACAGAGAUCCUCCUGUUUCUGCUUCCCAGGUUAUGGGAUUAAAGGGGUUUUUUUUGUUGUUGUUUUUGUUUUUGUUUUUUGUUUUUGUUUUUUUUUUUUUUAGUUUUUUCGAGACAGGGUUUCUCUGUAUAGCCCUGGCUGUCCACUGCCCAGCUCUGUUAUAACUCUUUAGUGGUCAAUCUAGUUAUGUAAGUCAGGGGCCUUUGAAAUAUUCAGGUCUUAGCUGGGCGUAGUAGCACACACCUUUAAUCCCAGCACUCGGGAGGCAGAGGCAGGCGGAUUUCUGAGUUCGAGGCUAGCCUGGUCUACAGAGUGAGUGUCAGGACAGCCAGGGCUACACAGAGAAACCCUGUAUCAAAAAAACGAAACAAAACAAAACAAAAAAAAAACCAGAAAUAUUCAGGUCUUUUGACUAGAAAUCAGCAACAAGUAUACUAAAAUUGGAAUAAUACAGAGAUUAGCAUGGAUGCUUCAUAAACAUAAAAUCAUGAAGUACUGUUUUUCUGUGACAUAGGAUCAUACUAUGUAGACCAGUCUGGUCUAAAGUCACAGAGGUCCACAGGCCUUUGUCUCCUGAGUGAUGGUAUUAAAGAGCUAUUAGGUCCAACCUCACUCUGAUGGUGUUUUGUUUAUAAUUCUCUCUUUCUGGAAUUUAUAGCAUGUAAAAGUUGACAUAAUCGCUUAGAUUUAUUAAUAUUUAUUAAGUUUAAUGUCAAAAACGUUCGAAACAAUUGAAGCAUUCAUGAGACUAAAGGUCUGGCUUAGUAGUAGAGCACUUUCCUAGCAGAUGCCAGGUCCAGGGGUCCAUUUCUAGAAUAGGAAAAUAAUAGUCAAUAGCAGAAUUGUUGCAGCUUGUAUUUCAAAUACUAAAAUCAUCCUAAAAAUAUGUUGUUGGGUAUGGUGGUACAAAGCUACAUUUUUUUUCUUUAUUUAUUUAUUUAUUUAUGUAUUUAUGUAUUUAUUUAUUUUUUUUUUUCAAGACAGGGUUUCUCUGUGUAGCCCUGGCUGUCCUGGAACUCACUCUGUAGACCAGGCUGGCCUGGAACUCAGAAAUCCACCUGCCUCUGCUUCCCAAGUGCUGGAAUUAACGGUGUGCGCCACCUCUGCCAGGCACAAGGCUACAUCUUGAAAGAAUAAAAUAAAAACAUUUAAAUACAUGGUAUAAUGCUCAAAUUUGUCUCAGUGCCAUAAAAACCAGUAUGUAUAUAACAUUAUACACACACUCCAGAGUUGGCCUAUACCUGAUUUUUAGUUCCAAAUCAUUUUUCUGUCUUUCUUUCCUCUUCCAGGGAUACAGAAUAGUCCAGACUUUGACAUAUUAUUGUUCUACAACUUCUAACAAAACUAAGUUAUCUGAACUCUUAGAGAUAGGAUUGUUUACCUUUAUACUAAGAAAGUUGGGGAGCAUGGUAUGUGCCUAGGCUGACUGCAAGGGGUUCAUGCUAUGAGAACUAUCACCCUAUGAGAUCAUCCAAAAUAAAUAUAUGUCAACAGGACCAACCUAUGGUAGUUCCAUGUGUGUUUAAUGUGUUUACAACAGAAUCCGGUGUACUUUUCUUAUUGACCAAAAAUGUCAUUGUGAAGGUGAAGUCACAUGCAGAGUCAGAAAGCCAAAUUCAAAUGGAGGUUCUGAAGGGUGAAGAGAUGCCUCAGUGCUUGAGAGUAGUGGCCACUCUUCCAAAAGAGCCAUGUUUAGUUUCUAGCAUGCACAUCAUGUAUUACAGCUGUGUGCAAGUUUAGCCCCCAGGGUCCAAUACCCUUUUCUUACUUCCUUAGGCACUGGACAAAGAGACAUAAAUGAAGGCAAAACCCCUGUAC